rnacentral:rRNA from 1 species
UACGUAGGGUGCAAGCGUUAAUCGGAAUUACUGGGCGUAAAGCGCACGUAGGCGGCUUUGUAAGUAAGAGGUGAAAGCCUGGAGCUCAACUCCAGAACUGCCUUUUAGACUGCAUCGCUUGAAUCCAGGAGAGGUGAGUGGAAUUCCGAGUGUAGAGGUGAAAUUCGUAGAUAUUCGGAAGAACACCAGUGGCGAAGGCGGCUCACUGGACUGGUAUUGACGCUGAGGUGCGAAAGCGUGGGGAGCAAACAGG